rnacentral:rRNA from 1 species
AGAGUUUGAUCCUGGCUCAGAGCGAACGCUGGCGGCAGGCUUAACACAUGCAAGUCGAGCGGGUCCUUCGGUGUCAGCGGCGGACGGGUGAGUAACGCGUGGGAACGUGCCCUCUGGUUCGGAAUAACUCAGGGAAACUUGAGCUAAUACCGGAUACGCCCUUUUGGGGAAAGGCUUGCUGCCGGAGGAUCGGCCCGCGUCUGAUUAGCUAGUUGGUGAGGUAACGGCUCACCAAGGCGACGAUCAGUAGCUGGUCUGAGAGGAUGAUCAGCCACACUGGGACUGAGACACGGCCCAGACUNCUACGGGAGGCAGCAGUGGGGAAUAUUGGACAAUGGGCGCAAGCCUGAUCCAGCCAUGCCGCGUGAGUGAUGAAGGCCUUAGGGUUGUAAAGCUCUUUUAUCCGGGACGAUAAUGACGUACCGGAGGAAUAAA